rnacentral:rRNA from 1 species
GACGAACCGUCCAAACGUUAUUCGGAAUCACUGGGCUUACAGAGUUCGUAGGCGGUCUGGAAAGUUGGGUGUGAAAUCCCUCGGCCUAACCGAGGAACUGCGCUUGAAACUACCAGACUCGAGGGGGAUAGAGGAAAGCGGAACUGAUGGUGGAGCGGUGAAAUGCGUUGAUAUCAUCAGGAACACCGGUGGCGAGGGCGGCUUUCUGGGUCUUACCUGACGCUGAGGAACGAAAGCCAGGGGAGCGAACGGG